rnacentral:rRNA from 1 species
UACGUAGGGUGCAAGCGUUAAUCGGAAUUACUGGGCGUAAAGCGUGCGCAGGCGGUGAUGUAAGACAGAUGUGAAAUCCCCGGGCUCAACCUGGGAACUGCAUUUGUGACUGCAUCGCUGGAGUGCGGCAGAGGGGGAUGGAACUCCGCGUGUAGCAGUGAAAUGCGUAGAUAUGCGGAGGAACACCGAUGGCGAAGGCAAUCCCCUGGGCCUGCACUGACGCUCAUGCACGAAAGCGUGGUGAGCAAACAGG